CUAUUACAUUACAAAUUUAUUUUACGUGGCGCACCGUCAAAGCGUUCCUGCCGCUUUUUUUCACGGAAUGGGUAAUUGCAAAGAUCCAGAUGGAAUAGGUCUUCUACAUUUGACAAGGCAUUUGUCAUUUUAAAGUACCACAUACCGAAUUUAAGACAAGCCUUUUUUGUGAAUCAAGUUUCCUAACAAUUCAGAUGAUAUUCAAUACAGUGUCAGCAAACUAAUUUCUGGCGAUGAAAGAUGUUUAAAAAAAAAAAGUUUGACACGAUUUUACUGCAAGACCGUCAUUAUUGAGGUUGAGAACUUUAACAGGAUGGCGCUACGUCGUAAAUCUUACCUUACCGUUUUACUAAAAGAUUUUGCAUAUUAUUUGAAGGCAGCAAGCAGAUGUGGGUGAAGAAUAUGCCAUCAAUACACAAAAUGUGUGUUCUUACAAGCCUCAUUCAAGCAUCGACUCUGCUCGUCUGCUCCUGGGUUUUAUUUAAAGAACAAACAUUGGAACAUAGUGUGAUCAGGAGCCAUGUCCACCGUAAACAACAGCAGAUUGCACUUGGCAGAUACGCUACUGUACAACUUACCGUGAGGUACAGGCGAGCAGAACAAACUGGCGUUCAACAUUGAGGUGUAAUGGAUAUUGUAGGCAUGUAGUCGUUAUUUUAACGGGAGUGCCAAUGAUAGCACUAACAAAAUAAAAUAAAAAUGCAGCGGUGCCAUUCAGAUUGUGAUAUUAUGCUACCAUCCCGCGUUAAUAGUCCCGUAGCAGAUGUAUCGGUUCCAACGUUACUUAUAAACAGGGGUAUUAAUCAAAUCAAUCAGUGUUGACAAAUUAGAAAUAUUUGAAGGAACGCGUUAAUUUACAACUUUGUUAUUAGUUAAAAAUCACCAGCAUUGUAGUGGCAAUUAAUAACACUCUGAGUGGGAACACUUAAAGACGAAUGGUUCACUCUGUACCGGUGGUGAUCAGCUCAGCUGUACCGCAACCGCGGCGAAUGACGGAAAGAUUCGCAAAGGGCGGGGGUUGGACGGGUCAGUCGACUGAUUGAAAGAGAGCUUCCUAAUGCAACGUUCGAGGGUAGGAAAGGGUGCGACGGGGGAAAGGGUCAGAUACCAUGCGAGGAAAGAGGGGGGGGAGAGAAACGUGAAUAAACGAUAGGUUAACCACCGCGGGACCCAACGUAUGGGCGACACCCUGUCUGAAGGGAAUCUUGCGGCCGCGGUGUCCAGCGGAUCACAAGGGCACUCAAUCGGAUUGAACGAACUGACCGUCACUGCCAGUAACUUAAUGAAAAAUAUUGUAAAUAAAUCUAAAACCCGCCACACAAAAAGGGCUCACUUACAACCAUA